CUAAACAUGAAAAUUGUCGAGGCAUGCAAGCCCGAAAAGCAAAAAGAGAAAAUAAACUUCCAGUGAGCAUGCAAGCUCAAAAAACAAGAAAAAUGCUAUAGCUAUGGCCAACUAUUUGUAAUAAGUCUUCAGGUUGUCGGCGUUCCAAGGUCUUGGGUGUGGCUUUCCCGAGGUGUCUUUGAGGCUGUAAGCUCCGCCCUUUUACCUUCGUUUGACUUCAAAAAGCCCUUCCUAUGCUGGUCCAAGGUUACCUGUAGGACAACCAGCUGCUUCUGCUCUUUUAAUGACCAAAUCCCCAACUCUGAACCUCCUUGGCUUGACCAUCCUAUUGAAGUAUCUAGCUGUUUUGUUUUGAUAACUUACAGCUUUAAGUGAAGAGGUGUUCGAUUGCUCUCUCUUCCAGGUCUGUCUUGAGCCUCCUCAAUGUAGGAAGUUUGACUUCAAUUGGGAUCUUAGCCUCUAAGCCAAAGGCUAACAUGAAAGGUCUCGCUGGUUGUUGUUUUAUGUGAAGUCUUGUAUGCCCCAAUCCUCCUUUGAAAAUCUUGCAAAGUAUGAUCCGAUUAGUUACUUCAGCGAGGCCAUUGCUCUGAGGGUGUGACAUCGGGGUCAGAUGGUGUUCAAUCCCAAAGUUGACAAAAAUUUGUUAAGCUGCCUUCCAUUAUCUGUUAUGAGCACCUUUUGCACCCCGAACCUUCAUAUAAUGGGCUUCCAUACAAAUGAUUUGAGUUUGGACUUCGAGAUUGUUGCUAAGGAUUUUGCUUCUACCCACUUUGUAAAAUAUUCCACUGCUACCGCCAAAAACUUCAAUUGUCCUUUGGUCAAGGGAAAGGGUCCAAGGAUAUCAACUCCCCAUUGCUCAAAAGGAGCUGAAUAAUGGAUUAAAGUUAGCUCUUCAGUGGGUGCACGUAUGACAUUGUCGAACUUCUGGCACUUGUCGCACCUCCGAACACAAUCUGCUGCAUCUUGGCCAGUAAUACUCAUACCUUAUGAGUUUGUAGGCAAGGGCUCGGGCUUCUUGAUGAUUCCCACUUAUGCCUUCGUGAACUUCAGUCAAGGCUUAAAGAGACUUGGAAGGUCUAAGACAUCUCGGGUAGGGGAGUGAAAAACAUCUACAAAACAAAACUCCUCUAAUGAUACAGUACCUUGGUGCUCUAGGGACCAAAUGCUCCUUUCAGCUCGGGGUUAGACGGUAGGUUCUUAUCUACGAUGCUUGGACUUGGGUACGGUUGUCGAAUUUUGGUAUAUUUCUAGGAGUCGGGUCUUUCUCAUUUUUGAAAUUAAGAUAUGGGGUUACGGUUAAAAAUGUUCUGAAUUUUGGAUACGUGUACGGGGAUAUGUUUUACAAAAAAUAUAUUUUUUUAAAUGAUAGAAAAAUACCAAAAUAACAAAGAGAAAAAUGGUUUAACUAAAGCAAAUAACCACAAUAUUAAAGCAAAAUAGUAAAAUACCACAAUUCAAAUGUUUCAUAUAAUGAUAAAAUCCAUAUCCAAAUUCAAAGACUAAAUUCUUGUAAUUCGUUUGGUUGCAACACAGUACGAACAUCCAUGCACAUAUACCUAGCUAGCUCAGAAGGAAUUUCAAGAUUUGUACCACCAAUAUUAAUCGCUCUAGAUGUUGAUGAACUAGAACUAAAUGAAGGAAUACUUGUAUUGUUAUCUAAAUAAUUUCAUAAAAUUUUGGAAUUUGUUGAAAUAUUUUUUGAAAAAGAACCUUGGGAAGUAGAACUACCUUGAUCUACCUUUUCAGCAUAGUAAUUAUACAUUUAACAUAAAAAAGAUUCUAUAUGCACAUGUGAUAAUUUUAUAUUCAAAAAAUCUGAUAUCCCCUUUAUAGUGGCUUUUGUGCCAGUUAAAUUAAGUCGAGGGUCCAUUACUGAAACUAAAAGAAAUAAAGAAGGCAAUUCUUUCCAAUAUUUACAAAAUUUUAAUUUUAUAGAGCGGACUAUAUCAGGAAAAGUGGGAAAUUUCUAUAUUUAUGAAAUGCUUGUGAAAAGUAGAAAAAAUAUUGUAAAACAAGAGAAGAUGUUGGGUAAUAAAUACCGCUACAUUCCUUUAUAGCAUCGAAAAAAGGUUGUAAGAAUUUUUUCACGUAAAAUACAAUAGUCCAUUUUCAAUCUUCCAAAUUAUGUUUGGGUCCGAGUGUAUUCCUACCAUUAUAAUAUAGGAAAGUCAUUUUAUCGUAAUUUUCACACGAAUGUAACAUAAGAUAUGUAGAGUUCCACCUAUGUGUUACAUCAGUGGCAAAUGAUUUCUCCUGCAAUCCAUACUCUGCACACAAACUAUUAAAUGCUUGUUUUUUUGCUGGUGACACAGUAAUAAAAUUUAUUGCUUGUUAAUUUUAUCUAAAGGUGAACUUAUAUGUUUUAAUCCAACUUUUACAAUCAAAUUAAUAAUAUGACAUACACAACGUUGAUGAAAAAAUAAAUUUCCAAAUACGAGUUAAGAUCAGCAAUAAAUCUUUCAAUAACAACUUUGUUCACUGCAGCAUUAUCAAAAGUAAAACUUCCAACCAUAUCUUGUAUACCAUAUUCUUGUAUGAUAUCUUUUAAAACCAUGUAUAUGUUAGUGGCAUUAUGGGGAUAUUCUACACAUCUGAAUGCAAUAAUUCUUUUAUGUAGAAGCCACAUGUGAUCAAUAUAAUAAGUCGUAG
rnacentral:lncRNA from 1 species